AGUAUAUAACUUUGUUGAACCAAACAGCUGUUUGGCUGUUGCUUAUAAUUCCUACAGCACAGCCAUCUGCUUGCCGAGCUGUUUAAACUC